rnacentral:misc_RNA from 1 species
AAAAUCAAUAGAUGAUGCUAUUAAUUAGGGGAGUUGAUUUGGUGGAUUUUUUUUUUCCUUGCUAUUCUCUUUGCCCUUGUGAUGAUAGGUUGUGGCCUUAUGGGUUAUCUGUCACUUAGAGAGGAACAAGGAUGGGUGGUUUUGAAGAUAAGUCUAAAUUUGGUGGUUAUAAAUGAAUGUGAAAAAUAUGAACUUUCAUCAGAAGAUUCACUCAUUACAAAACAGGGGUUGUUUUCAUUCCAAUUAAAGCAAAGAUGAUUAUCUUAUUCUAUUAUCUUU